UGCCAAACAACCAUCUAAGAUAUCCAAAUAUACUUAUAUCUCCAACUAUUUCUUGAUAUUGAGAAUAAAAGUUGUUUGUGCCACUCAGGUAGGACUUGCUGGUUGAAAGUAAUGCUAGUCAGCAACUUGAUGGAAUCCUGUUAAGGACAAACUUCCUAAUUUCUCCUUUGCUAAGUAUAUAUGCAUAUAUGUGAUUGGAUGGAUGGAAGAACAGGGAAGUGAUACAAACAGAUCACACAUUGAUCAGGCCACUUACAAGGACAGUCCUGGUACUGCCCCCUGGUGUUUAACUCUCUUGUAUCAGGGAUUUCCAUGUUGCCUCAUGUUCCUGUAUGGCUGACCUGUCUGUGCCCAUCAAACUAAUUGCUGCUUGUUAUAAUUUAUGCAAACUGUGCUCAUAAAGUCACAUUUAAGUGACUCACCUAUGAGACUUCAAUAAAUGCAAUGGACAAACAUUGUGAGGUAGAAUUUUAAAUUUUAUGAUGUAAAACUGAAAAAAACAAGAUAAAAAUUUGACAUUCCGAGUUUUAAUGAGCAGGACUUCACCUGCUGUAUCAGUCAGUAUCUGUAUUGUGUAUGUUUCAUAAACACGCCCUUCUGUUGUACAGCGCUCCAGCAUAUGUUGGCGCUUUAUAAACACUGCAAAAAAAAUGAAGGCUUGAAGGCGUAGCCGUCCUUAUAAAGACGUCAAUGUCUCAAUCAUAUCGCGUUUUCUUCCAGGUUCCUUCCCGGCUUCCAUACAGUCCGUGACGUCUCCCCACGCUGUGCUGUGAUUGGCUGAUUUCAAUAGUCCCGGGCUACUUGUAUUGAGAGAGCAGCGCCAGCUGUAGUAGAAGGGAUAGUGAUAGAGGCGCAUUGAGAAGCGGCGGGAGUGGGAGGCUUUAGAUCAAUAUACCGGCAUACAAGAGGGAAGGGGUCUAAGGCCGAGCUGCAGACGCAGAUUGUCAGCCAUAGUGAGGAUACCGAUCAGGAGGGAAGAAGAAAACGGAAGGACUGGCGCCCAUAGGAGAGUGCACAGUUGCACGUCUCCUGCUCUCCCUAGGGGGUGUAAGUAAAAGAAGAUGGGUUACUGUCUGCCUGCUGCAGCUCUGCUUUAGAUCCCUUCCCUCUUGUAUGCCGGUAUAUAAGUUUAAAGCCUCCCACUCCUGUCGCUUCUCAAUGCACCUCUACAGAAAUCCCUUCCACCACAAUAGCAGCAGCUACUGCUGCUUUCUUAAUUGAAGUAGCCCGCUACUAUUGAAAUCAUCCAAUCACAGGACAGCGCGGGGAGACGUCAGGACUGUAUGGAAGCCGGGAAGAAAACGCGAUAUAAUUGAGACAGUGACGUCUUUAUAAGGACGACUAUGCUUUCAAACCUUGAAUUUUUUUUUUAAAAAAUUAAAACUUGGGAUUUAAACUCGUUUUAUCGUUUUUUUUUUUUUAGACAAAAUUAGAAUUUAUACCUUGCAAUGUUUCUCCAUUGCAUUUAUGGAAGUCUCAUAGGUGACUCACUUAAAUGUGACUUUAUGAGCACAGUAUACAUAACACCAGGGGGCAGUACCAGGACUGUCUUUUUAAGUGGCCUGAUCAAUGUGUGAUCUGUUUGUAUCACUUCCCUGUUCUUCCACCCAACCACAUUUUCUAAAAGUGUGAGCUCUAUACACACACACACCCCCCCUCCAACGAUGCCCUAGUAGCUCCCUGUAUUUUCUGCCGGUUCACUGCUCAUGCUGCUGUAACUUACUGAGCUUAGGGACUGACUCACAAUAUACUGUAUAUACAGAAUACAAAUGUCACAGUAUCAGGCUAAUCAUUAAUUAAUACAAAUAUUUACUACACAGCAGCUUAGAAACUAGUAGGAAAAAUCCCAACUCCAAAAUUUAAAUCUUACUAAAUCUGCCCUUUACUAUCCUUAUAUGUCACCAUAUGAGGUACAUCACUAAGCCCAGAUUAUAUGCGUAUAUACGGAUAUAUUUUUUAAAAUUUUCACAAUCUUUGUGUUAUAUGAAGAUGAUCUGUCUGUAUAAAAGCCCCUCUCUGUCUGGAAGUUCUUAAUUUAUUCCGGAAGCACAAGAGAAUGAUCUACAUCUGAAUGAACAUAAUUGUGCUAGUAACAUUUAACACUUUCUGGACUAUUUGUUAUAAUUGCAUUCUGCAGCGGGAUUUCUAUGUACCUUCAAGUAGGUCUGGACUAGGAGUCAGAAUAGGUCCUGGCAUUUCAGGUACACAAGCCCAAACAACCCCCACCUGCCCACUAAAUAGCAACUUUCUAUGGAGUUUUACACCCGCUGAGUAUUCCCGGAUCCCAUUAGGAGGAGGCACUGCCAAGAGAGGAACUUCCCAGUACCAUUUCACUUUGCAAAGGGGACUCAGGACGUGAGUUGGUAAGACGGUACAAGCUUGGCACCAGGGGGGUUGCCAAGUGGGUGUUACAUAUCACUGAAUGGCUUUGAGUUAAUUAUUGUGCAGGUCCCAAAUUAUACACUAAAACCACUUUUAAACGACAGUAAUAAAAUAUUUUUCUCUAAAAUUAGUUGUGUGC